AGAGUUUGAUCCUGGCUCAGAACGAACGCUGGCGGCAUGCCUAACACAUGCAAGUCGAACGCGUGGCUUCGGCCACGAGUGGCGCACGGGUGAGUAGCGCGUGGGAACCUGCCUUUGGGUUCGGGAUAACCGCGGGAAACUGCGGCUAAUACCGGAUGCUCCCUUCGGGGAAAAGAUUUAUCGCCCAGAGAGGGGCCCGCGUCCGAUUAGGUAGUUGGUGAGGUAACGGCUCACCAAGCCUUCGAUCGGUAGCUGGUCUGAGAGGAUGAUCAGCCACACUGGGACUGAGACACGGCCCAGACUCCUACGGGAGGCAGCAGUGGGGAAUAUUGGACAAUGGGGGCAACCCUGAUCCAGCAAUGCCGCGUGAGUGAUGAAGGCCUUCGGGUUGUAAAGCUCUUUCGCCCACGACGAUGGUGACGGUAGUGGGAGAAGAAGCCCCGGCUAACUUCGUGCCAGCAGCCGCGGUAAUACGAAGGGGGCUAGCGUUGUUCGGAGUUACUGGGCGUAAAGGGCGCGUAGGCGGCCGGUCAAGUCGGGUGUGAAAGCCCGGGGCUCAACCCCGGAUGUGCAUUCGAGACUGAUUGGCUUGAGGACGGGAGAGGAUGGUGGAAUUCCCAGUGUAGAGGUGAAAUUCGUAGAUAUUGGGAAGAACACCGGUGGCGAAGGCGGCCAUCUGGACCGUUUCUGCGCUGANNNNCGAAAGCGUGGGGAGCAAACAGGAUUAGAUACCCUAGUAGUCC
rnacentral:rRNA from 1 species